GUGUGUGCGAGUGUGUUUGUGAGGUAUGUGUAUCCACACUCUAAAUCUGUCCCGCUCUCUAAUCCCAUAAUCCAGUGGUUAAACCCCGACUGAGUGCCGCUACGUUUUCAUGAAUGAGUUUUUGUCGUUUGUCGUGUGUUUACGUGUGUGUGCCGUCGAGAGAGAGGGAGAGAGAGAGUGAGAGAGGGAGAGAGAGACAGACAGAAAGUUAAAACAGAAGAAUGACUAUAUGGCAGAUAAAAAGGAGGACACAGGGAUCCUGUAAGGACACAGAGGAGAGAAAAAUAAGAUGAACAAAAAGGAAGAGAGACAAAUAGAGUGAGGGAUGAGAGAACGUGAUCCUGAAGCAAUCUAAACCCAGGAGGAGGCGGAUAAGACACUCGGGAGAGAGAGAGAGAGAGAGAGAGAGUGCUGGAACUGACAGUGCAACUCCUACUCAGUCCAUCAGCCGGGCACAGAAUCCAUUCUUCACUUUCUUGAGAUGUGAUUUCGGUCUUUUCUCUCGUGUCGAGGUGUCGGGACUGGGAGAGUUUUGUCGUUACUCCCGAUGUUCUAACGGCUGUUAUCUUCUCUAAUUGUGCAAAGACAAACAUUCCCCUCCUACACUCCCACUGGGAGAAGUUCUGAGGAAAGAAAAGAAACCACAGCGUGGAGGAUUCAAGGAUGAAGCAUUGAAUGGACGUCACCGGAGAUGGAGCCACUGGCCGAGCGGCUAAAAACAGUUCAAGUGUUGUUCCGUGAUGUUUGAAACGAAUGGCCGCACACGGGAGAAGAGAUCGAGGGCAGGGACACGGUGCGAGAGACAGAAGAGGAGGACGAGUGGUUGAGAGUGUUUGCAAGUCAGAGUGAGAGUAUGUCAUCGAGGGAGGGAGGCGUUUACUCAACUGUUCUCACAGCCACUCAUCUGACUCCCCUGUUUUCUCUCCAUCUCCCCUCGCGUGCAUUUGAAACAUAACUGGAACGACAUUUGAUUUUUAAUGUUAAAGUUAUAUUGAGACUCACACGUUGAUGACAGAUGCUCCUGAAAUAGUCUGUGCAUAAUGAGCUGAUGAAUUAUUCUGGUGUCAGAAGCUCGGUGACGAUCGAGCAUUGAGGAGGAAUAAAAGAAGCACUUCUGUGGUUUGUUUAUUAAAUUAGUGUUCGAUGUAAUGUUUUCUGAAUCAAGAACAUUUACUUUACUGUUAUCAGUCUAUAU